UACGUAGGGUGCGAGCGUUGUCCGGAAUUAUUGGGCGUAAAGGGCUCGUAGGCGGUUUGUCACGUCGGGAGUGAAAACUCAGGGCUUAACCCUGAGCCUGCUUCCGAUACGGGCAGACUAGAGGUAUGCAGGGGGAGAACGGAAUUCCUGGUGUAGCGGUGAAAUGCGCAGAUAUCAGGAGGAACACCGGUGGCGAAGGCGGGUCUCUGGGCCGAUACUGACGCUGAGGAGCGAAAGCGUGGGGAGCGAACAGG
rnacentral:rRNA from 1 species